GACGUAGGGGGCCAGCGUUGUUCGGAAUUACUGGGCGUAAAGUGUGCGCAGGCGGCCGCGCAAGUCGAGUGUGAAAGCCCCGGGCUUAACUUGGGAAUUGCGCUCGAAACUACGUGGCUGGAGUGUGGCAGAGGAAGGUGGAAUUCCACGUGUAGCGGUGAAAUGCGUAGAGAUGUGGAGGAACACCAAUGGCGAAGGCAGCCUUCUGGGCCAACACUGACGCUCAUGCACGAAAGCGUGGGGAGCAAACAGG
rnacentral:rRNA from 1 species